rnacentral:rRNA from 1 species
AGGAUGAACGCUAGCGACAGGCUUAACACAUGCAAGUCGAGGGGCAGCACGGUGUAGCAAUACACUGGUGGCGACCGGCGCACGGGUGAGUCACACGUGUGCAACCAACCCCGUACCGGGAGAUAACCCGCGGAAACGUGGACUAACAUCCCAUAACACUCUUCCAUCGCAUGAUGGGGGAUUUAAAACCCCGGUGGUACGGGACGGGCACGCGCGACAUUAGGUAGUUGGCGGGGUAACGGCCCACCAAGCCGACGAUGUCCAGGGGUUCUGAGAGGAAGGUCCCCCACACUGGAACUGAGACACGGUCCAGACUCCUACGGGAGGCAGCAGUGAGGAAUAUUGGUCAAUGGGCGAGAGCCUGAACCAGCCAAGUCGCGUGAGGGAAGAAUGGUCUAUGGCCUGUAAACCUCUUUUACGAGAGAAGAAUAAGAAGCACGCGUGCUUUGAUGCCAGUAUCUCGUGAAUAAGCAUCGGCUAACUCCGUGCCAGCAGCCGCGGUAAUACGGGGGAUGCGAGCGUUAUCCGGAUUUAUUGGGUUUAAAGGGCGCGUAGGCGGGACGCCAAGUCAGCGGUAAAAGACUGCAGCUAAACUGUAGCACGCCGUUGAAACUGGCGCCCUAGAGAGAAGUCGAGGGAGGCGGAACAAGUGAAGUAGCGGUGAAAUGCAUAGAUAUCACUUGGAACCCCGAUAGCGAAGGCAGCUUCCCAGCCUUUAUCUGACGCUGAUGCGCGAGAGCGUGGGUAGCGAACAGGAUUAGAUACCCUGGUAGUCCACGCCGUAAACGAUGCUCACUGGAUCUUGGCGAUACACUGCCAGGGUUCAAGCGAAAGUAUUAAGUGAGCCACCUGGGGAGUACGUCGGCAACGAUGAAACUCAAAGGAAUUGACGGGGGCCCGCACAAGCGGAGGAACAUGUGGUUUAAUUCGAUGAUACGCGAGGAACC